UGUGUGUGUGUGUGUGUGUGUGUGUGUGUGUGUGUGUUUCAGUAUCUGUGUAUAUGUGUUUCUGAGGGGAUUUGGUGUGAGCAAGGUAUGCAUGGUGUUUCUCUGUGUGUGCACUCCAUAAUUUUGCAUGUGACUCUAUCGGGUCAAGGUUCUAUCUAUCGAGGUGAAGGUGGGUGGAGCAAUGGAUGCAAAGUUUACCUUUGUACAGUAGGCUAGUUUCCACACACACACACACACACACACACACACACACACACACGCACACACA